rnacentral:rRNA from 1 species
ACGCUCGACACCUACGGGAGGCAGCAGUCGGGAAUAUUGCGCAAUGGAGGAAACUCUGACGCAGUGACGCCGCGUAUAGGAAGAAGGUUUUCGGAUUGGUAAACUAUUGUCGUUAGGGAAGAGAAAGGACAGUACCUAAGGAGGAAGCUCCGGCUAACUACGUGCCACAGCCGCGGUAAUCUGAGCGGGCUGGCAAGGC